CACAGCUCAGUUUUCAAAAUUCAAGUAAAUAAAAUUUUAGCACACAUCAUGAUAGCCUUACUGGAUAGCUGUGUUAAAAACAAAAAAUCGGAAGAGUACA